rnacentral:rRNA from 1 species
UACGUAGGGGGCAAGCGUUGUCCGGAUUUAUUGGGCGUAAAGAGCGUGUAGGCGGCCACACAGGUCUGCUGUGAAAACUCGAGGCUCAACCUCGAGCUGUCGGUGGAAACCGUGUGGCUAGAGUCCGGAAGAGGGUUGCGGAAUUCCCGGUGUAGAGGUGAAAUUCGUAGAUAUCGGGAGGAACACCAGUGGCGAAGGCGGCAACCUGGGCCAAUAUUGACGCUGAGGUGCGAAAGCGUGGGGAGCAAACAGG